rnacentral:lncRNA from 1 species
UUGCUUUUAGAAGACACCACCAUAGUGAAAAACAUGGCCAGCAGAUCCGCCUUAGUGCUUUUAGCCAUCGGUCUUCUCCUUCUGUGCGAAGGAAACGCAGUUAGGAGGAAGCCGUUCUACCCUGCAGCUGGCGCGAGGGCCCUUUUUGACGCAUCGGAGCGUUCGGGCAGUGCAGGCCACGAAUACCAAGACCGGGUGAGCAGCAACUGUGUCGCCACGCUCUGCGGCCAGCCGAUGGGAUGAGAAGUCAACACUUCUCGAGAGGCAUCUGGAUGAAGGCAGCGGGGGCGAGUGUUGGUGGAUGAACGUGACUCUGUAUUAAAGGAAGGGUUACA